GAUGAAGUUUUGUUUUAUUCGUAUUAUUAACGUUGUGACGCCCCCAAAAUAGGUAUACAACACCCAUUCUGAGUCGCCAAAAUACAUGGUAUAGAAAACAAAUUACAACUUUGACAAUACAGAUGUCGUGUAGAAUACGACAAUACAACUGUGAGUUUGAAUACAAAUAUUGUCUUCUAGACAAUAUACACACCCAAAUAAGUCCUCAUUAAUUAUUCAUACACUAUUUUACAGAAAUAGUGAGGACAGCUAAAACAUCUUCCUAGAACCAUCACUCCAUACCCCGACUCGAUCCUGCUAUGUUCUCACCUCCUGAGAAGAAAAAUGGAACAAAAAGGAAAAGGGUGAGCUCAACUAGCC
rnacentral:lncRNA from 1 species